GGGCCCGCACAAGCGGUGGAGUAUGUGGUUUAAUUCGAAGAUACGCGCAGAACCUUACCAACACUUGACAUGUUCGUCGCGACUCUAAGAGAUUAGAGUUUUCGGUUCGGCCGGACGAAACACAGGUGCUGCAUGGCUGUCGUCAGCUCGUGUCGUGAGAUGUUGGUUAAGUCCCGCAACGAGCGCAACCCUCACUUUUAGUUGCCAUCAUUAAGUUGGGCACUUUAAGGAAACUGCCGGUGAUAAGCCGGAGGAAGGUGGGGAUGACGUCAAGUCCUCAUGGCCCUUACAGGCUGGGCUACACACGUGCUACAAUGGCGAUGACAGUGGGCAGCGACCCCGCAAGGGUGAGCUAA
rnacentral:rRNA from 1 species